AAAACACAAUAUUGUUCGCCAGAGAACUACAAGCGAAAAACUCAAAACUCAAAGGACUUGGCGGUGCUCCACACCAACCUAGAGGAGCCUGUCCUAUAAUCGAUACUCCACGUUAAACCUUACCACCUUUCGCCAAUCAGCCUAUAUACCGCCGUCGUCAGCCUACCUUAUGAAAGAAGCACAGUAGGCAAAACAGUUAACAACGAACACGUCAGGUCAAGGUGUAGCACAUAAGGUGGAAGAGAUGGGCUACAUUAUCUGUUACAGAACACACGAAUGGCACAAUGAAACAUGAACCUGAAGGCGGAUUUAGUAGUAAGAUAAACAAGCAACACCAUCUUAAACUCGCUCUGGAGCGCGCACACACCGCCCGUCACCCUCAUCAU
rnacentral:rRNA from 1 species